AAUGAACGUUGGCGGCGUGGAUUAGGCAUGCAAGUCGUGCGGCAAGGAGGACCUCGGUUCUCCCUAGAGCGGCGAAAGGGAUAGGAAUACAUAGAGACAUGCCUCUUAGCCCGGGAUAGCGUUUGGAAACGAACGAAAAUAUAGGAAUCCCUAUUAGGAGGAAAGGUGAGAAUCCGCUAAUAGAUUGGGUUAUGUCCUAUUAGCUAGUUGGUAAGGUAACGGCUUACCAAGGCGAUGAUGGGUACGGGGUGUGAGAGCAUGACCCCGAUCACUGGGACUGAGACACUGCCCAGACGCCUACGGGCGGCUGCAGUCGAGAAUCUUCGGCAAUGGACGAAAGUCUGACCGAGCGACGCCGCGUGUGUGACGAAGGUCUUCGGAUUGUAAAGUACUGUCGAUUAGGCGGAAAUGAAUGGGGGCUAUCCCCUGUUUUUGACCUAUCAUUGGAGGAAGGACGGGCUAAGUUCGUGCCAGCAGCCGCAGUAAAAC
rnacentral:rRNA from 1 species